rnacentral:rRNA from 1 species
UACGUAGGGGGCUAGCGUUAUCCGGAAUCAUUGGGCGUAAAGCGCGUGUAGGCGGCCCGGUAAGUCCGCUGUGAAAGUCGGGGGCUCAACCCUCGGAUGCCGGUGGAUACUGUCGGGCUAGAGUGCGGAAGAGGCGAGUGGAAUUCCUGGUGUAGCGGUGAAAUGCGCAGAUAUCAGGAAGAACACCUAUGGCGAAAGCAGCUCUCUGGGACGGUACUGACGCUGAGACGCGAAAGCGUGGGGAGCGAACAGG